GCACAUAGAACGGCUUGCAAGGGCGGUUGGCUACCUCUCCGAGAAGGGAGGGAUGCCCAUGGAGGUUAAAGAUGCUUUGACGUUAAUGAUCGGUUUUAGUGCGCUUAUAGUAGCGAUGCUGACGCUGGUUGUUGCCAUCAUUGCAGUGAUUAACCAAAAGAAAUAGACCGCCCAUCUGCUAGGAUAACGGUCUAUUUCUGAUCGCAAUUCUGAAGCCGACCGCCUUUGAAGCGGUCUACUGUGCCGGAGGAGUCGUGUUGACGCACGGCUC
rnacentral:sRNA from 1 species